UUAUGCCCUGACCACAAAUAUAUAUAUGUAUAUAUAUAUAUUGGGGUAGCCCCCAAAAUAUUGGGACAAAUAAAAAAGACAACUCUGUUCCGCAGAGUAGCUGUUGACAUUAUAGUUUCUCAGGCACUUUGUUGACUCUAGAGAACCUCGGGCCAAUCGCACAUCCCCGUGACGGCGACUUGCAUUUGGAUGUCAUCCAUAUCAACUUUCGAUGCCAGUUUCUGCGCCUACCAUGGUGACCACGGGUAACGGGGCAUCAGAGUUCUAUUCCGUACAGGGACCCUGACAAAUGGCUACCACAUGCAAGGAAGGCAGCAGGCG